ensembl:lncRNA
UUUCCUGAUUUGGAGGGCAAAAGUCAUCUCUUGGACCUGAGUUUGUUUCGCAGCUAAUUUCCUGAGAGCUAUUACCCCCAGUACAGACCAACACACAGACAGUGUGAGGCUGACUGACAGCUCCAGUCCCAACCAGGCGAUGGGAGAAUUACUUGCUUGGCUGUGGUGCAUCCAACAGCGUGCCCUGAUCCCACAGAGCAGCCCUGGGCGGGAACCACACAAGAUAUUUUUUGGGGCCAGGAGGGACCAUUAGAUCAUCCGUUCUGGCCUCCUGCACAACACAUGCCGCAGAAUCUCAUCCAAAAAGCUUGUACUCUUAAGGGUCUGCAGCCUCGGUGUAUGAUAUCAAAACUGAAAUCAGGCCCAGCAGUGUUCUCCGCUAAACUGGGCCAAGAAGCAUAAUAAAGAUUUGGCCUUGCUAUAAAAAUGUGCCGUGCUGUACUGCUACUCUGCUUAUUCCAUGCUGGCUUCCGGGCUUCUAAUAAAGGAA